rnacentral:rRNA from 1 species
GUCUACGGCCAUACCACCCUGAACGCGUCUGAUCUCAUCUGAUCUCAGAAGCUAAGGAGGGUUGGACCUGGUUAGUACUUGGAUGGGAAAGACAUUGCUGGGGAAUCUGAACUUACACUGAGGACU